rnacentral:lncRNA from 1 species
AAGGCUCAUCAAGUCUCAAAGCCUGUAUAUGGCGAGACCAGAUGCCAAGCGUGCCAGAAUCUGCUCGUCCGCGCGAAGGCGAGCCGAAUCCCAAGCAUUGAAGAAUUUUCUAAGGUAUGCAAAGGCUCAUCAAGUUUCAAAGCCUGUUUAUGGCGACACCGGAUGCCAAGCGUGCCAGGAUCUGCUCGACCGCGCGAAGGCGAGCAGAAUCCCAAGCAUUGAAGAAUUUUCUAAGGCAUGCAAAGGCUCACGAAGUCUCAAAGCCUGUUUAUGGCGAGACCAGAAGCCAAGCGUGCCAGGAUCUGCUCGACCGCGCGAAGGCGAGCAGAAUCCCAAGCAUUGAAGAAUUUUCUAAGGCAUGCAAAGGCUCACGAAGUCUCAAAGCCUGUUUAUGGCGAGACCAGAAGCCAAGCGUGCCAGGAUCUGCUCGACCGCGCGAAGGCGAGCAGAAUCCCAAGCAUUGAAGAAUUUUCUAAGGCAUGCAACGGCUCACUAAAUCUCAAAGCCUGUUUAUGGGGAGACCAAAAGCCAAGCGUGCCAGGAUCUGCUCGACCGCGCGAAGGCGAGCAGAAUCCCAAGCAUUGAAGAAUUUUCUAAGGCAAGCGAAUGCUCACGAAGUCUCGACGCCUGUUUAUGGCGAGACCAGAAGCCAAGCGUGCCAGAAUCUGCUCGACCACGCGAAGGCGAGCAGAAUCCCAAGCAUUGAAGAAUUUUCUAAGGCAUGCAAAGGCUCAUCAAGUUUCAAAGCCUGUUUCUGGCUAGACCAGAUGCCAAGCGUGGCAGGAUCUGCUCGACCGCGCGAAGGCGAGCAGAAUCCCAAGCAUUGAAGAAUUUUCUAAGGCAUGCAAAGGCUCAUCAAGUCUCAAAGUCUGUUUAUGGCGAGACCAGAUGCCAAGCGUGCCAGGAAUCUGCUCGACCGCGCGAAGGCGAGCAGAAUCUCAAGCAGUUGAAGAAAUUUUCUAAGGCAUGCAAAUGGCUCAUCGAAGUCUCAAAGCCUGUUUAUGGCGAGACCAGAUGCCAAGCGUGCCAGAAUCUGCUCGACCGCGCGAAGGCGAGCAGAAUCCCAAGCAUUGAAGAAUUUUCUAAGGCAUGCAAUGGCUCAUCAAGUCUCAAAGCCUGUUUAUGGCGACACCAGAUGCCAAGCGUGCCAGGAUCUGCUCGACCGCGCGAAGGCGAGCAGAAUCCCAAGCAUUGAAGAAUUUUCUAAGGCAUGCAAAGGCUCACCAAGUCUCAAAGCCUGUUUAUGGCGAGACCAGAAGCCAAGCGUGCCAGGAUCUGCUCGACCGCGCGAAGGCGAGCAGAAUCCCAAGCAUUGAAGAAUUUUCUAAGGCAUGCAAAGGCUCAUCAAGUCUCAAAGCCUGUUUAUGGCGAGACCAGAAGCCAAGCGUGCCAGGAUCCGCUCGACCGCGCGAAGGCGAGCAGAAUCCCAAGCAUUGAAGAAUUUUCUAAGGCAUGCAAAGCCUCAUCAAGUCUCAAAGCCUGUUUAUGGCGAGACCAGAUGCCAAGCGUGCCAGAAUCUGCUCGACCGCGCGAAGGCGAGCAGAAUCCCAAGCAUUGAAGAAUUUUCUAAGGCAUGCAAAGGCUCACGAAGUCUCGAAGCCUGUUUAUGGCGAGACCAGAAGCCAAGCGUGCCAGGAUCUGCUCGACCACGCGAAGGCGAGCAGAAUCCCAAGCAUUGAAGAAUUUUCUAAGGCAUGCAAAGGCUCAUCAAGUCUCAAAGCCUGUUUAUGGCGAGACCAGAUGCCAAGCGUGCCAGAAUCUGCUCGACCGCGCGAAGGCGAGCAGAAUCCCAAGCAUUGAAGAAUUUUCUAAGGCAUGCAAAGGCUCAUCAAGUCUCAAAGCCUGUUUAUGGCGAGACCAGAAGCCAAGCGUGCCAGGAUCCGCUCGACCGCGCGAAGGCGAGCUGAAUCCCAAGCAUUGAAGAAGUUUCUAAGGCAUGCAAAGGCUCAUCAAGUCUCAAAGCCUGUUUAUGGCGAGACCAGAAGCCAAGCGUGCCAGAAUCUGCUCGACCGCGCGAAGGCGAGCAGAAUCCCAAGCAUUGAAGAAUUUUCUACGUCAUGCAAAGGCUCACAAAGUCUCAAAGCCUGUUUAUGGCGAGACCAGAAGCCAAGCGUGCCAGGAUCUGCUCGACCGCGCGAAGGCAAGCUGAAAUCCCAGCAUUGAAGAAGUUUCUAAGGCAUGCAAAGGCUCACGAAGUCUCGAAGCCUGUUUAUGGCGAGACCAGAAGCCAAGCGUGCCAGGAUCUGCUCGACCACGCGAAGGCGAGCAGAAUCCCAAGCAUUGAAGAAUUUUCUAAGGCAUGCAAAGGCUCAUCAAGUCUCAAAGCCUGUUUAUGGCGAGACCAGAUGCCAAGCGUGCCAGAAUCUGCUCGACCGCGCGAAGGCGAGCAGAAUCCCAAGCAUUGAAGAAUUUUCUAAGGCAUGCAAAGGCUCAUCAAGUUUCAAAGCCUGUUUAUGGCGACACCAGAUGCCAAGAGUGCCAGGAUCUGCUCGACCGCGCGAAGGCGAGCUGAAUCCCAAGCAUUGAAGAAUUUUCUAAGGCAUGCAAAGGCUCACGAAGUCUCAAAGCCUGUUUAUGGCGAGACCAAAAGCCAAACGUGCCAGGAUCUGCUCGACCGCGCGAAGGCGAGCAGAAUACCAAGCAUUGAAGAAUUUCCUAAGGGAUGCAAAGGCUCAUCAAGUGUCAAAGCCUGUUUAUGGCCAGACCAGAUACCAAGGGUGCCAGAAUCUGCUCGACCGCGCGAAGGCGAGCAGGAUCCCAAGCAUUGAAGAAUUUUCUAAGGCAUGCAAUGGCUCAUCAAGUUUCAAAGCCUGUUUAUGGCGACACCAGAUGCCAAGCGUGCCAGGAUCUGCUCGACCGCGCGAGGGCGAGCAGAAUCCCAAGCAUUGAAGAAUUUUCUACGUCAUGCAAAGGCUCACAAAGUCUCAAAGCCUGUUUAUGGCGAGACCAGAAGCCAAGCGUGCCAGGAUCUGCUCGACCGCACGAAGGCGAGCAGAAUCCCAAGCAUUGAAGAAUUUUCUAAGGCAUGCAAAGGCUCAUCAAGUCUCAAUGCCUGUUUAUGGCGAGACCAGAUGCCAAGCGGGCCAGAAUCUGCUCGACCGCGCGAAGGCGAGCAGAAUCCCAAGCAUUGAAGAAUUUUCUAAGGCAUGCAAAGGCUCACGAAGUCUCAAAGCCUGUUUAUGGCGAGACCAGAUGCCAAGCGUGCCAGAAUCUGCUCGACCGCGCGAAGGCGAGCAGAAUCCCAAGCAUUGAAGAAUUUUCUAAGGCAUGCAAUGGCUCAUCAAGUUUCAAAGCCUUUUUAUGGCGACACCAGAUGCCAAGCGUGCCAGAAUCUGCUCGACCGCGCGAAGGCGAGCAGAAUCCCAAGCAUUGAAGAAUUUUCUAAGGCAUGCAAUGGCUCAUCAAGUUUCAAAGCCUUUUUAUGGCGACACCAGAUGCCAAGCGUGCCAGGAUCUGCUCGACCGCGCGAAGGCGAGCAGAAUCCCAAGCAUUGAAGAAUUUUCUACGUCAUGCAAAGGCUCACAAAGUCUCAAAGCCUUUUUAUGGCGAGACCAGAAGCCAAGCGUGCCAGGAUCUACUCGACCGCGCGAGGCGAGCAGAAUUCCCAAGCAUGAAGAAUUUAUAAGGCAUGCAAAGGCUCAUCAAGUCUCAAAGCCUGUUAUGGCGAGACCAGAUGCCAAGGGUGCCAGAAUCUGCUCGACCGCGCGAAGGCGAGCAGAAUCCCAAGCAUUGAAGAAUUUUCUAAGGCAUGCAAAGGCUCACGAAGUCUCGAAGCCUGUUUAUGGCGAGACCAGAAGCCAAGCGUGCCAGGAUCUGCUCGACCACGCGAAGGCGAGCAGAAUCCCAAGCAUUGAAGAAUUUUCUAAGGCAUGAAAAGGCUCAUCAAGUCUCAAAGCCUGUUUAUGGCGAGACCAGAUGCCAAGCGUGCCAGAAUCUGCUCGUCCGCGCGAAGGCGAGCCGAAUCCCAAGCAUUGAAGAAUUUUCUAAGGUAUGCAAAGGCUCAUCAAGUUUCAAAGCCUGUUUAUGGCGACACCGGAUGCCAAGCGUGCCAGGAUCUGCUCGACCGCGCGAAGGCGAGCAGAAUCCCAAGCAUUGAAGAAUUUUCUAAGGCAUGCAAAGGCUCACGAAGUCUCAAAGCCUGUUUAUGGCGAGACCAGAAGCCAAGCGUGCCAGGAUCUGCUCGACCGCGCGAAGGCGAGCAGAAUCCCAAGCAUUGAAGAAUUUUCUAAGGCAUGCAACGGCUCACUAAAUCUCAAAGCCUGUUUAUGGGGAGACCAAAAGCCAAGCGUGCCAGGAUCUGCUCGACCGCGCGAAGGCGAGCAGAAUCCCAAGCAUUGAAGAAUUUUCUAAGGCAAGCGAAUGCUCACGAAGUCUCGACGCCUGUUUAUGGCGAGACCAGAAGCCAAGCGUGCCAGGAUCUGCUCGACCACGCGAAGGCGAGCAGAAUCCCAAGCAUUGAGGAAUUUUCUAAGGCAUGCAAAGGCUCAUCAAGUUUCAAAGCCUGUUUCUGGCUAGACCAGAUGCCAAGCGUGGCAGAAUCUGCUCGACCGCGCGAAGGCGAGCAGAAUCCCAAGCAUUGAAGAAUUUUCUAAGGCAUGCAAAGGCUCAUCAAGUCUCAAUGCCUGUUUAUGGCGAGACCAGAUGCCAAGCGUGCCAGAAUCUGCUCGACCGCAAGAAGGCGAGCAGAAUCCCAAGCAUUGAAGAAUUUUCUAAGGCAUGCAAAGGCUCAUCAAGUCUCAAUGCCUGUUUAUGGCGAGACCAGAUGCCAAGCGUGCCAGAAUCUGCUCGACCGCAAGAAGGCGAGCAGAAUCCCAAGCAUUGAAGAAUUUUCUAAGGCAUGCAAUGGCUCAUAGAGUUUCAAAGCCUGUUUAUGGCGACACCAGAUGCCAAGCGUGCCAGGAUCUGCUCGACCGCGCGAAGGCGAGCAGAAUCCCAAGCAUUGAAGAAUUUUCUAAGGCAUGCAAAGGCUCAUCAAGUCUCAAAGCCUGUUUAUGGCGAGACCAGAUGCCAAGCGUGCCAGAAUCUGCUCGACCGCGCGAAGGCGAGCAGAAUCCCAAGCAUUGAAGAAUUUUCUACGUCAUGCAAAGGCUCACAAAGUCUCAAAGCCUUUUUAUGGCGAGACCAGAAGCCAAGCGUGCCAGGAUCUACUCGACCGCACGAAGGCGAGCAGAAUCCCAAGCAUUGAAGAAUUUUCUAAGGCAUGCAAAGGCUCAUCAAGUCUCAAAGCCUGUUUAUGGCGAGACCAGAUGCCAAGCGUGCCAGAAUCUGCUCGACCGCAAGAAGGCGAGCAGAAUCCCAAGCAUUGAAGAAUUUUCUAAGGCAUGCAAUGGCUUAUAGAGUUUCAAAGCCUGUUUAUGGCGACACCAGAUGCCAAGCGUGCCAGGAUCUGCUCGACCGCGCGAAGGCGAGCAGAAUCCCAAGCAUUGAAGAAUUUUCUAAGGCAUGCAAAGGCUCAUCAAGUCUCAAAGCCUGUUUAUGGCGAGACCAGAUGCCAAGCGUGCCAGAAUCUGCUCGACCGCGCGAAGGCGAGCAGAAUCCCAAGCAUUGAAGAAUUUUCUAAGGCAUGCAAAGGCUCAUCAAGUCUCAAAGCCUGUUUAUGGCGAGACCAGAAGCCAAGCGUGCCAGGAUCUGCUCGACCACGCGAAGGCGAGCAGAAUCCCAAGCAUGAAGGAAUUUUUAAGGGCAUGCAAAGGCUCAUCAAGUUUUCAAAGCCUGUUUCUGGCUAGACCAGAUGCCAAGCGUGGCAGAAUCUGCUCGACCGCGCGAAGGCGAGCAGAAUCCCAAGCAUUGAAGAAUUUUGUAAGGCAUGCAAAGGCUCAUCAAGUCUCAAUGCCUGUUUAUGGCGAGACCAGAUGCCAAGCGGGCCAGAAUCUGCUCGACCGCGCGAAGGCGAGCAGAAUCCCAAGCAUUGAAGAAUUUUCUAAGGCAUGCAAAGGCUCACGAAGUCUCAAAGCCUGUUUAUGGCGAGACCAGAAGCCAAGCGUGCCAGGAUCUGCUCGACCACGCGAAGGCGAGCAGAAUCCCAAGCAUUGAGGAAUUUUCUAAGGCAUGCAAAGGCUCAUCAAGUUUCAAAGCCUGUUUCUGGCUAGACCAGAUGCCAAGCGUGGCAGAAUCUGCUCGACCGCGCGAAGGCGAGCAGAAUCCCAAGCAUUGAAGAAUUUUCUAAGACAUGCAAAUGCUCACCAAGUCUCAAAGCCUGUUUAUGGCGACACCAGAUGCCAAGAGUGCCAGGAUCUGCUCGACCGCGCGAAGGCGAGCUGAAUCCCAAGCAUUGAAGAAUUUUCUAAGGCAUGCAAAGGCUCACGAAGUCUCAAAGCCUGUUUAUGGCGAGACCAAAAGCCAAACGUGCCAGGAUCUGCUCGACCGCGCGAAGGCGAGCAGAAUACCAAGCAUUGAAGAAUUUCCUAAGGGAUGCAAAGGCUCAUCAAGUGUCAAAGCCUGUUUAUGGCCAGACCAGAUACCAAGGGUGCCAGAAUCUGCUCGACCGCGCGAAGGCGAGCAGGAUCCCAAGCAUUGAAGAAUUUUCUAAGGCAUGCAAUGGCUCAUCAAGUUUCAAAGCCUGUUUAUGGCGACACCAGAUGCCAAGCGUGCCAGGAUCUGCUCGACCGCGCGAGGGCGAGCAGAAUCCCAAGCAUUGAAGAAUUUUCUACGUCAUGCAAAGGCUCACAAAGUCUCAAAGCCUGUUUAUGGCGAGACCAGAAGCCAAGCGUGCCAGGAUCUGCUCGACCGCACGAAGGCGAGCAGAAUCCCAAGCAUUGAAGAAUUUUCUAAGGCAUGCAAAGGCUCAUCAAGUCUCAAAGCCUGUUUAUGGCGAGACCAGAUGCCAAGCGUGCCAGAAUCUGCUCGACCGCGCGAAGGCGAGCAGAAUCCCAAGCAUUGAAGAAUUUUCUAAGGCAUGCAAAGGCUCACGAAGUCUCGAAGCCUGUUUAUGGCGAGACCAGAAGCCAAGCGUGCCAGGAUCUGCUCGACCGCGCGAAGGCGAGCAGAAUCCCAAGCAUUGAAGAAUUUUCUAAGGCAUGCAAAGGCUCAUCAAGUCUCAAAGCCUGUUUAUGGCGAGACCAGAUGCCAAGCGUGCCAGAAUCUGCUCGACCGCGCGAAGGCGAGCCGAAUCCCAAGCAUUGAAGAAUUUUCUAAGGUAUGCAAAGGCUCAUCAAGUUUCAAAGCCUGUUUAUGGCGACACCGGAUGCCAAGCGUGCCAGGAUCUGCUCGACCGCGCGAAGGCGAGCAGAAUCCCAAGCAUUGAAGAAUUUUCUAAGGCAUGCAAAGGCUCACGAAGUCUCAAAGCCUGUUUAUGGCGAGACCAGAAGCCAAGCGUGCCAGGAUCUGCUCGACCGCGCGAAGGCGAGCAGAAUCCCAAGCAUUGAAGAAUUUUCUAAGGCAUGCAACGGCUCACUAAAUCUCAAAGCCUGUUUAUGGCGAGACCAAAAGACAAGCGUGCCAGGAUCUGCUCGACCGCGCGAAGGCGAGCAGAAUCCCAAGCAUUGAAGAAUUUUCUAAGGCAAGCGAAUGCUCACGAAGUGUCGACGCCUGUUUAUGGCGAGACCAGAAGCCAAGCGUGCCAGGAUCUGCUCGACCACGCGAAGGCGAGCAGAAUCCCAAGCAUUGAGGAAUUUUCUAAGGCAUGCAAAGGCUCAUCAAGUUUCAAAGCCUGUUUCUGGCUAGACCAGAUGCCAAGCGUGGCAGAAUCUGCUCGACCGCGCGAAGGCGAGCAGAAUCCCAAGCAUUGAAGAAUUUCUAAGACAUGCAAAUGCUCACCAAGUCUCAAAGCCUGUUUAUGGCGAGACCAGAUGCCAAGCGUGCCAGAAUAUGCUCGACCGCGCGAAGGUGAGCAGAAUCCCAAGCAUUGAAGAAUUUUCUACGUCAUGCAAAGGCUCACAACGUCUCAAAGCCUGUUUAUGGCGAGACCAGAUGCCAAGCUUGCCAGGAUCUGCUCGACCGCACGAACGCGAGCAGAAUCCCAAGUAUUGAAGAAUUUUCUAAGGCAUGCAAAGGCUCAUCAAGUUUCAAAGCCUGUUUAUGGCGAGACCAGAUGCCAAGCGUACCAGGAUCUGCUCGACCGCGCGAAGGCG